rnacentral:tRNA from 1 species
GCCUGGGUGGCUCAGUCGGUUGAGCGUCUGACUUCGGCUCAGGUCACGAUCUCACAGUUUGUGGGUUCGAGCCCCGCGUCGGGCU